CACCACCCCUCAGAAAAACCGGGUCCUCACUUUCCUGCGGUUUGCACUCACCAAAUAUAAUUAGCAAUUUGCAUUUCUCCCGCAGGAUUAUUCCAGCCUCUGUGAUCACACACGGAAAGAAGAGCCUUCUUCGUGAGGGUUGGAGAUGGAGGGAGAAGGGAUCGAGAAAAAGGAUGGGAGGGAAGUUGUGGAGCAGAAAACCAACACGCCAGUCUGAACAUGAAACAACUUGGAUCAAUGGCUGAGAAAACUGCAAAAGUUAUUAUGGAUCUCUGGCCAGGCUCAACUCUCAGAAUGAAAUGGAAUCUUUGAUGCAUUAUCGGGGCCCUCUUUAUAUUGGUUUGAACUGAGCAAGAACGAUGCAAACAAAACGUGGAUGUGGGCAGAUGGAGCUACGUUCAGCAAUGGGUUCAGUACUGAAGAAAGUGGUGAUUGUGCCUUCAUACAUAAGACAGGCAUAAGUAGUGCCAAUUGUAAUAAUACAAAAAAAAAAAAAAUAUGUUUGCAGCAGAAAAAGCUACUGUUCUUAGAUAAAGAGUUCUCCCAUACAGGAAAUAAAAUAAUUAACAAAAACC
rnacentral:lncRNA from 1 species